rnacentral:pre_miRNA from 1 species
AUUUGAAUCACCUGGAGAUCUUGUUAAAAUUCAGAUUCUGAUUCAGUCUGAGGUGGGGUCUGGGAUUCUACCUUUCUAACAAGCUCCCAGUUGAUGCCGGU